rnacentral:rRNA from 1 species
GUGUCAGCAGCCGCGGUAAUACGGAGGGUGCAAGCGUUGUUCGGAAUCACUGGGCGUAAAGCGCGUGUAGGCGGCUUCCUAAGUCUGGUGUGAAAGCCCGGGGCUCACCCCCGGAAGCGCACUGGAAACUGGGAGUCUUGAGCACCGGAGAGGAGGGUGGAAUUCCUGGUGUAGCGGUGAAAUGCGUAGAUAUCAGGAGGAACACCGGUGGCGAAGGCGGCCCUCUGGACGGAUACUGACGCUGAGACGCGAAAGCGUGGCGAGCAAACAGGAUUAGAAACCCCCGUAGUCU